GUGUCAGCCGCCGCGGUAAUACGUAGGGCGCAAGCGUUGUCCGGAAUUAUUGGGCGUAAAGAGCUCGUAGGCGGUUUGUCGCGUCUGCUGUGAAAGCCCGGGGCUUAACCCCGGGUGUGCAGUGGGUACGGGCAGACUUGAGUGCAGUAGGGGAGACUGGAAUUCCUGGUGUAGCGGUGAAAUGCGCAGAUACCAGGAGGAACACCGAUGGCGAAGGCAGGUCUCUGGGCUGUUACUGGCGCUGAGGAGCGAAAGCAUGGGGAGCGAACAGGAUUAGAUACCCCCGUAGUCC
rnacentral:rRNA from 1 species